rnacentral:ribozyme from 13 species
UGUUUUUUUUUUUUUUAUCGUUUUUAAUUUUAUUUUUCACAUUUUCUUUCUUCCCUCCCUAUCACAAUUACAACCACAACCAAUAAGGACUGAACCAGUGCGCGAAUCACGCAAACAGGGGAGAUCAUUAAGAGCCCAGUCCGUCGAUAAAGACAAAUGAUAAAAAUUUUAACCAAUGGGCUUGAUCUUAAAAUGAAGAGAAAUCAAAGAAAAAACGAAGCAUUUCAAAUCUUGAACGAGAUAAUAAAAAAUUUUCAAUCCAUCAGGGUCCUUACUCUCUGCAACAUCUAACAAUGAUCCAAUCUUUGAUGUCGUGAAGGAGACAUGAUCACGACCAACAACAAGCUCAAGUUCUUGUUUUCCAACGACAUCGGGUUCAGGCCACAAGUUGUCGUCUUCUUUGGUGAUUUCGGACUCCUCAAUGAUUCUCUUCAAUUCUUUCAACACAGCUGGUUGAACAAAAGCUUCCUUUCUGAUCAUUGUUU